ACAGAGGUGGCAAGCGUUGUUCGGAAUUACUGGGCGUAAAGGGCGCGUAGGCGGCUCUCUAAGUCAGACGUGAAAUCCCCCGGCUUAACCUGGGAACUGCGUCUGAUACUGGGGGGCUUGAGUAUGGGAGAGGGAUGUAGAAUUCCAGGUGUAGCGGUGAAAUGCGUAGAUAUCUGGAGGAAUACCGGUGGCGAAGGCGGCAUCCUGGACCAUUACUGACGCUGAGGCGCGAAAGCUAGGGGAGCAAACGGG
rnacentral:rRNA from 1 species